AUUGAACGCUGGCGGAAUGCUUUACACAUGCAAGUCGAACGGCAGCACGGACUUCGGUCUGGUGGCGAGUGGCGAACGGGUGAGUAAUGUAUCGGAACGUGCCCAGUCGUGGGGGAUAACGUAGUGAAAAUUACGCUAAUACCGCAUACGAUCUAUGGAUGAAAGCGGGGGAUCGCAAGACCUCGCGCGAUUGGAGUGGCCGAUAUCAGAUUAGGUAGUUGGUGGGGUAAAGGCCCACAAAGCCAACGAUCUGUAGCUGGUCUGAGAGGACGACCAGCCACACUGGAACUGAGACACGGUCCAGACUCCUACGGGAGGCAGCAGUGAGGAAUUUUGGACAAUGGGCGAAAGCCUGAUCCAGCCAUUCCGCGUGCAGGAUGAAGGCCCUCGGGUUGUAAACUGCUUUUGUACAGAACGAAAAGGUUUCUACUAAUACUAGGAGCUCAUGACGGUACUGUAAGAAUAAGCACCAGCUAACUACGUGCCAGCCGCCGCCGUAA
rnacentral:rRNA from 1 species